rnacentral:tRNA from 1 species
ACUAGUGUAGCUUAUUUAAAGCAUGGCACUGAAAAUGCUAAGAUGAGAGAUAAAAUUUUCCUCCAGUA